ensembl:lncRNA
AGCGCGCUGGACUUCUAAUCCAGAGGUUCCGGGUUCGAGUCCCGGCAGAGAUGAUCUCCAGGCAGGUGUCUCUUUUAUUUUAUGUGUAUUCCUCCAUAAAUCCCAAUCCGACGCCUUUAUAGCACCCCAGAAGGUUUGAGGUGGGAGAUGAUGACUUUUCACGGCAUCGUCUCCGCUGCUGAUGCUCACAGUGGUUGUGUGCUCCCCAUCCAAGGUGUGUUUCUUCCAUCACAUUCCCCUUCCCUCCUUCCUUUUGGUAGCUCCUGGAUGCUUUGAUCUUUUAACCCUAUUUGUUCCCCCAGUACUGCUUGUUGGACGUCUCUGAAUGCUUUAAGAAAACUGCUGUGUUUCCAGUAGAAAUCGGGUGGUCAGGCAGUGGUUUGGAACCUUGCGUUGAAACCCUUUGCAAAUGCUCUCGUUUUUCAUGUUUGCAUGUUGAUGAUGCAUGUUUGCUGGCAGCCACCUCCGUAUCCUCAUGGAGGUUCAUCUUCGUAAGUAGUAAACAUUGACGAAAGAUGAAGAUCAUGACCCUACAGUAGAACUUCUUCCCACUCUGUGACCUUCGAAGACUUCUCUCCACUUGAAAAGUGGGUUUCUUUCCAUGGGUGUUAGCAUAGAGUAACACAGAAGGCUAAAAAAAGUCCAAAGAAAUAAUGUGCAUGACCUGAGAAUUGAUGUCCUGCACUGUCAGGGGUUGGAUGUAGAUGGAGCCCAAAACAGUGGGGAAGGAAGGCAGCAAAAGCGUUAUGUAGGGAGAUUCCAUUGUGAUCCCAUUCCUCUGGAUGGAGGGAGAGAAAAGAAAGACAACAAAUGCCAACAGCAACCCAUGAGGGAUGGAGUGUCCCUAGAACACAGGGGCAUCUCAGUGGGGUUGCAGGAGGCUGUGGCUUUGAGGGACAUCUGCUAUAAAGGGGAAAAAAAGGCGUCCUCAGGCAUGGUCAUUAGGGCAGCACAGAGAUUUCCGGUUAGUCUUUAUGAAAUAUUAGUGAACCAAACCCAUUUCCUUCCUUUGUUCUCAG